ACAUGGAGUCAGAUCCUCGUUUCUUCCCUCUUCCAAGACCUCUGUGAACGCUGUUGCAGUCUAUAGGCAAAAAUAGAACCUGUCAAAAAUAGAGUAGUGUUCUCAAACACUACCUAUUGAACCUGAGUUUUCUUUACUCAGUUAUACCUUCUUACCCUUUGAAAACAGAGUCUCACAAAGAUUUAGACAGUCAUUAAUUUAAAUGAAAUUUCGAAAGUCAUCAGAGAAUCUGACUGAGAGUCCUUCAGAAAGAAGUGUUUAUUGCAUGUUCUGAUGCACAGAAGCUGUCUUCAAUAAAGUUAAAGGGGGAAAACCCCCUACCUUUUGGGAUGGAAUGUUUUUCUUGCUGAUAUGAAACUAGCAGGUAAUAAUUCUGUUUCUGGAUUUUCUAUUGAUUUCCUGCAUGGUUUUUCAUGAAUAAUGCUUCAGUUCUGCAGAAGAAAGCCCUGCUCCUUACAUGCUCCUCAGCUGCUUGUAUUGACUAUUUGUGAAGUGCAAACCCCAGUCUCUCUUAGAUCUGAAAGCUGUAGAAGAUAUAAAUUCUGUUGCUUAUUGUAUUUUAUUUAAUGUAAUGUAAAAUAUUACUGCAAAACAGUAUUCAAAGGCAAUAUGAUGACUCUUAAGAAGUAUGCAGCAAGUAUUGGAUCUGAAAGUCUGAAUAAAUAGGCAUGGAUGAGAUAGACAAUACUAAAUGGAGCAGUUGUAUGUUCAGAAUCUCAACGUACCUAUGUCUGUGUUCAGGAAUUUUCAGGCACCUGAAAUUUCCAUGUAAAGGAAUACUGCUUUCUUAAGUGGCCUCAUUCCAAUGAAAAUAAUGGGUCAAAUUAUAAUUUAAAGUGCUGCCACACAAACUGAUUCCUUGAAAGAAAAAUUUAGGUUUUCAGUCAUUCACUAAGUUGAUGUAAAAAUUCAUACAAUAAAAGGGAACUUAUUUAAAACAAACAAACAAACAAACAAAGGAGAGCCAUUAAACAUCAAUGUUAUUGUAUCACUCAGAAAAGAGUUAGGAAAUGAACUUGGAUAAAAAUUAUUUUUAGGAGGUAUCAGUGGUCUAAUCUUAGAAAACAGUGACUUCAUUCAUUUAGGCUGUAGAAGUUUUUUCACUCAGAAGAAUGUGUGUGGAUUUUAGCCAAGUUAAUCCAGAGCAAAUGGAAUCUUUAACCUUUUAAAAGUUUGUAGUGGUCCUGCUUUGUAGUCGCUAAUACCAGGAGACACAGAAGGCCUGGCUGAUGGACAUAUGGUGUAGUAAAGCUCAUUAGCUCUGUUGUCUUUAGAAGAAAGGUUUAUUACUUAGGGGUUGAGAUGUGGAAAGAAAAAAGCUGCAAGAAAAGUACUGAAUGUUGUGUUGUGUUUUGUAUGAUUUUAAGCUUCUUUCACAUAUGAUUGAGCAUUUGGCUCAUGAUGACUAGGAGCCCUUGGGUUAUGCCAGCUGUUCCAAAAGAAACCCCAUUACCCAGUCUGUAAGUCACAUAGAUAUCACAGGAGAGAGGAGGACAGUCCAAAUUUCUGUGCAGCUCUUCUCCUUUGGAAGGAUUACUUGUCUUUAUACAGGGCUAACUGAAAGCCCACCAAUAUCUUUUCUUGCUCUGGUCAGCCUGGUGAAUGCAGAAAAGUUCAUUCAUUUCCAUUUGAGGAACAGGGAAGCCUGUGGCACUCUGCUGCAAAAUUUCAUCAUGAAACUUUAGAAAGGCAUUAUAAGUUAAACAGAAUUAGCCACAAAUACUGAGUCUGCUAUGCUGUAAACUCUCUUAUGCUCAGAUUUGUACAGUACACCUGUAUCGUGUUGCAAUGGAUAAGGCAGUGUGCCUUGACUAUUUUGGCAGAAGGCACCCAAAGAUAAUCGUAGCUAUCUGUGAAUUGGACCAUAUUGUCUAAUCAUUGUUACAGCCACGUUUUUGGGAUCAGGACAUGAGUAUAAAUAAUAACAUUUGUUAUUAUUAAGGGACUGUCCUGUUAGGAAGAUGUAGCAUUCCGUUUUCCAAGUAUAGUUAGAAGCAUUGCCUAUGCAACUGAAUUUCCCGUACGGGGAGAAUGACCUGUGUCUCAUGAGCACAUUGCAGUGUUCUGAGAGAAAGUGCUCAGUGCACCUCUGGGGGCUGGCACUGAAGCUACAUGGUUUAUAUUCUAAUAUUUCAAAGCAGGAUUUAUGCAAUGUGGCAGCAUUUUCACAGUGUGUCUUUAUCUGAACAAUGACAAAAUAAAAAAGCAUACUGUAGGCUUGAGAAAAUGUCCCUAAGUGCAAAAAUGUGAGUGCACGUGCUCGUGUCGCUGUGUUGGUUGGUUUGGUGUGUCCAUUGUCUUACCUUCACAGAAGAAUAGAGGGAUAGUGUGCCCAAGGAAAGUCAUCAAUAGUAAAUUGAAUGAUAUUGACUGAGUGAGCUACCAAUUCACAGUCAUCAGCAAAAAGAAGCUCCCUAAUGAAGAAAUCAGCCACACGUGUCUGCAGACUGAACAACUUGCAUCAGUAAGAAACUGAAUAAAUAUAUCUCUGCCAGUGGCACGAAGUGCAUCCAUCUGCACAAUAGAGAGAAGGUGUAAAAGAGUACAGAAACUCUUUAUGAUAUUAAAGAUAUCUUUCAGUUUUCUACCUAUCUAACCACCAUCUAAAUUACUGAGAAUUAGAUAUGUCAGAAAUAAAAUUUGUAAGGCAUUCAUGGGUCUGCUAAAGCUUCAAGAGUCCCCUAUAAUUCACAUUCUCAAAAUGUUUAGCUAGGUCAGUGGUCAGCAAGCGAAGGCAGUAAUUUGAACUGAUGCUACUUGAAAAGGAUUGUGCGUGUGAUGCUACUUUCUAAAUAACUUUACAUGCAAGUUUGGGAAAGACAGACUGCACAAAACAGAAUUUGAUUCCAUCAUUUUAGGUAUUUUCCUAGCAUUGGAGAAAAGAAAUGCCACAAUAAUUGUCACAGUUUGCAUCAUGAUAGUUUGUAAUAGAUACUGCUGGUGUCUUUGAAUUGCCAUGAAAUUGCCUCCUGCUUUCAGUUGAGGUGGGAAGACCAUGUGAUGUUUGUGUUGCUUUUUCAAAAGUAAUUUGUCAUCAUGCCUUUUCCAAACGUGUAUUGUACAAAGUCACUGAGUGUUCUGGUUCAAUGUCAAGACUUUGUAAAAGAAAGAAGGUUUUUGAUUGAAAAAUUUGACAGGUUGUCUUGGCAUUUUGAACACAGGAGACUACAAAUUUCAGUCUAUGACAAAUUUCUGUCAUUCUCACAACUGUGACUAAGGAUAUUUUUGCUCUACACUUUUUCUACCAAAGUAUGGCAUUAAGUUUGUUGAGGUUACAUCUUGUAACAGGUGAAAAGAGAUGUGUGCUGUCACUCUCCUACCUAUGCAAGAAAUAUAUACUGCAACUACAGAAACUGCAUUGAGCUGGUUGAUAUUGACAAAUACAGAUUGGGUUUUAAACAUCUUUUCUGUAGUAAAUGGUAUUGAUUUCUCUAGAUUCAAUGUUACUCCAGAGUGCUUUCAGGAAUGAUGUUGGUUUUAUGUUAAUUUAAAGUGUGUUUGUACCAUUUUGUCCCUACAUUCUGUGUUAAUGAACACCUACUUCCAUCAUGGCCAACACAGUCUUGGGCAUCUGUCCUAUAUGUAAUUUGUGCUACUGUCAAAUCUUAUUACCUGCAACUGCUGGUUUGUUGUUUGUUUUUUCAGCUGACAAUCCAAAAUCCACAACAACACUUGAAGACAGAGGUAUAGUUUCUGAAAAUGGACAAGAGCUCAGGAUAAGUUAGAGGAAUUGAAGAGGAAAAUAACAGCAAGCAGUGUAUUGGUUUUUAGAGUUUUAGUUUGAGGAAAUAGUCUGGGUUUUUUACCACAGCUAUCUAAACAAAAACAUAAUGAAGGUUCAUCUUUUGAAGUUCCCAAAAAUAAAGCAAAAUGUAAUUCUAAUUCAGAAUGAAACAUUUAAACAAAAUAAUCAGUGCAUAUCUGGCACAACUUAAAUAAAAAUUAUGUAUCAUUCAUAUAUGUUGAAUGGUAUAUUAAACAGUACAAAACUAAGUGAUUAAUAAUGAUUUUCUGACAGUAUUUUUUAAGCAAGUGGAGAGCUAUUGCAAAGAUUUUCUAACAUGAGUUUGGCAAGUGCAAAUGCAUUUAUGUUUUAUAUCAGAGUUGUCUGGUCUCCAUCAUUUUUCCCAAAAAGGUGUGAAGCAAUGUGUCCGUCUCUGUGCAUCUUCAGAAGAUUGAAGCUGCCUUCCAAUCCUGUUACUCUGUUGCUGAAAUCAUAAAAAAAUACAAUGAGUAGAGACAUCAAGUGACUAUUCAGUCAAGGCUGCUCUCAUUCUCUUCCAAAUCAAGACUGCUACUGAAGGGUAUGUUCCAUGCAAAUAUGUGGUGUAUUUCUCACCUCCUGAACACUUCAAAAUAUUCAAGAUGAUGCAUCUGGGUUCCCAAGGGGAUUGUUCUGGAAUGCUGUACAGCGGAACUGAGCUGGGACUGGGACUACAGUUACCAAUUAAGGUGGAGAGAGGAAAGCACCAAACUCAAGUCCACAAAUGUUCCCUUCCUGUAGAGGUCAGGCUCUCCCCGCUAUGGAAAGAGACUCCCCUGCUCACACAGUCUAGCUGGGAAUGUGGCAAUACACAUCAGGAGCAACUGGAAAUGAAUCGGAGCUCUCUUUGCAAGAAUAUAAGCUGUAACCUUAAAAAAAAUUCCCGAAGUGCCAGAUUUUUAACAGGUGUUUAUAGUGUCUUUCCAAACAUAUGGAUGUUUUUAAGGAUUUCUCCUGAAGGACCUAUCUAUAUGAAUUACUCCCAUUGCACAAGACAUUUCCUAAAGAUUCUCGAGUUACUGGGUUCAUCUCCAUCUCUUUUCUUAAGGGAUCCUUUUUUGAUGAAAAUUGCAUCUGUCAAAAGACAAACAGGAAGAAUCAAAUCCAUUCUAAUGAACUUUUAUGUACCACAUAUUUUAUUUUUUUUUUAAAUAGGAUGAUAUCUUUUGCCACUGCUAAUUUUUCUUCUGGAAAUUGUAACAUAUCUCCUCAUAAACUGAAAUUUCCUAUUACAGUUUCUAUGCUCAGCUCUUAUGAACAGCAAAAAAAACAUAUCUCUAUUAUCCCAAUAGAGUGAGAGUGCUGCAAUUGCUACUCAGAAGAACACAAAGCUCAGUGUUUGAAAGGAACAUAAAAACUCCUGUAUCCCUUUGCGAGGAUGGAUUCUGCUCAGUACACAUGAAUUGUCCAAAGCGGCAAGUAAGAAUGAAUCAUCAGUUUCUUACCAUGAAGCACAAGAGACCAGGAAAUGACAGCAUUUUUAUCACUUCCAAAUACAGAGAUAGUUUUUAAAAAGGUGUUAUUACACCCUAAAAUACUUAAAUGUGAAGCUUUUAUUCUGUGUUUAGCUGUCACUAACUCUAAUGCUACUUUUUGAUGGAAUUUUUUUAUUAGUUAAUACAAAGUUACACUGCUAAAAAUAGACAAAUCAGCUUGAAUGGGGAGUUUUUUUUAAGUUUAUUACUACAAAGAGACAUUCCUCUGAAAGCAAAAUCUUUAAGUAGUUUCUGUAAGUUUUAUUACACAGAAGGUAAAUUCUGUGUACACUGCAGUUCCAGAGAAUAACUUUUAUGAAUUAAAUAAAAUUUUUCAUUUGAAUGAAGUUUUACAUUCUCCAAGUCUGGUAAAAAAACAGAAACUGAUAAAAAGCCACUAUGCCCAUUUUUAAUAUUUAAGAAAUUUACAGGUUUAAUAUUUGAUGAUCAAAUUUGAUACACUAUGCCCAUCUUCAUUAUGUAUCUUAUAUAUAGUUCAAGGCCAGGUUGGUGGGGACUUCUGUGACUUGAUAUAAUGGAAGCUCUCUCUGCCCGUGACAUUUGGAACAAGGUGAUGUUUAAGGCACCUUCCAGCUCAAGCCAUUCUAUGAUUCUAUGACAUUUCUCUAAAGUGAAAGGUAUAAUGAAAUGCUCCUGCAAAUCUUAGUGGACUGUCAUGGGCUUACCUUAUAGAAAUACCUGAUCAGAAAAUGUCGCAGACAUCUUUUAUGGAAAAUCCUUUCCUUAGGAUUUUUCCUCCUGAGAAGCUGAGAGGCCUCAGGAAUGUAA